rnacentral:rRNA from 1 species
GCAGUGGGGAAUCUUGGACAAUGGGGGCAACCCUGAUCCAGCCAUGCCGCGUGAGUGAUGAAGGCCUUAGGGUCGUAAAGCUCUUUCGCCAGAGAUGAUAAUGACAGUAUCUGGUAAAGAAACCCCGGCUAACUCCGUGCCAGCAGCCGCGGUAAUACGGAGGGGGUUAGCGUUGUUCGGAAUUACUGGGCGUAAAGCGCACGUAGGCGGAUUAGUCAGUCAGAGGUGAAWUCCCRGGGYUCAMCCCKGGAMCUSCCUUURAUACUGCUAGUCUWGAGUUCGAGAGAGGUGAGUGGAAUUCCGAGUGUAGAGGUGAAAUUCGUAGAUAUUCGGAGGAACACCAGUGGCGAAGGCGGCUCACUGGCUCGAUACUGACGCUGAGGUGCGAAAGUGUGGGGAGCAAACAGGAUUAGAUACCCUGGUAGUCCACACCGUAAACGAUGAAUGCCAGUCGUCGGGUAGUAUACUAUUCGGUGACACACCUAACGGAUUAAGCAUCCUG